CUCUACUGGAAUAUUCCAAUCCUUGAGCAGCCUUUCUCCUUCCUCCAGUGUGGUAAUAUGUCUUGUCGUUCCAUUGUGGCUGAUGAUGAUGUGUGCUGGGAACCCCAUUUGUAUUUCGGUGCUUGUGUGAUUGGUGUGAGAUGUUUCCUUUUCAGAAGCAUUGAGGCCAACAGGUCUGUGAAGAGUUUCACUGCCGUGUAUUUGCCUGACAGAUCAGGGGAGCGUUGUGGGGCCUGCAUAAUAUUUUUCCUUAGCGGUGAAGUGAUGCAGCUCAGUGAUUACAUCCCUGGGCAGUGACUGUGGCAGGUUUUGUGGCCACGGUAGCCGGUGUAUUCUGUCCAGGAGUAAUUCUCUAGGAGAGAGCUCUGGGACUAGGGAUUUGAAGAGCUCCAUAUUGUAUGCAGCCAGAUCUUGGAGCAGCAUAUCUUCCAGUAUGCCCCUCAGGCGUAUGUUGCUUCACCUAUCUCGAUCUUCAUGGUCUGCUACUUUGUUUUCCAGCCUUUUUCCAUUCUGGCUAGUAUCUCUGUGUAGAAAUCAGCCAGUUUGUUAUGUGCUUCAAUUAUCUCCUCU